GACGAACGCUGGCGGCGUGCUUAACACAUGCAAGUCGAACGAUGAAGGAAAGAAUCGAAGCUUCGGCAGAAAUUCAUUUCGGAUUAGUGGCAGACGGGUGAGUAACGCGUGAGCAACCUACCUCUUACAAAGGGAUAGCCUCGGGAAACCUGGAUUAAUACCAUAUAACAUUGCGACGAAGCAUUUCGAUGCAAUCAAAGCUACGGCGGUAAGAGAUGGGCUCGCGUCCCAUUAACCGGAUGGUGAGGUAACGGCUCACCAUAGUGACGAUGGGUAACCGGGCUGAGAGGGUGAACGGUCACACUGGAACUGAGACACGGUCCAGACUCCUACGGGAGGCAGCAGUGGGGAAUAUUGCACAAUGGAGGGAACUCUGAUGCAGCGACGACGCGUGAGUGAUGAAGGAAUUCGUUUCGUAAAACUCUGUUCUAUGUGAAGAAAAGGACUGUACCAUAGGAGAAAGCUCCGGCUAAAUACGUG
rnacentral:rRNA from 1 species